GAUGAACGCUGGCGGCGUGCUUAACACAUGCAAGUCGAGCGAGUGAGUUCUUCGGAACGAUCUAGCGGCGGACGGGUGAGUAACACGUGGGCAACCUGCCUCAUAGAGGGGAAUAGCCUCCCGAAAGGGAGAUUAAUACCGCAUAACAUCGUUGAAGGGCAUCCUUCGAUGAUCAAAGGAGUAAUCCGCUAUGAGAUGGGCCCGCGGGCCAUUAGCUAGUUGGGGAGGUAACGGCUCACCAAGGCGACGAUGCGUAGCCGACCUGAGAGGGUGAUCGGCCACAUUGGGACUGAGACACGGCCCAGACUCCUACGGGAGGCAGCAGUGGGGAAUAUUGCACAAUGGGGGAAACCCUGAUGCAGCAACGCCGCGUGAGUGAUGACGGCCUUCGGGUUGUAAAGCUCUGUCUUUGGGGACGAUAAUGACGGUACCCAAGGAGGAAGUCACGGCUAACUACGUGCCAGCAGCCGCCGUAA
rnacentral:rRNA from 1 species